UACGUAGGGUGCAAGCGUUGUCCGGAAUUAUUGGGCGUAAAGAGCUCGUAGGCGGUCUGUCACGUCGGCUGUGAAAACCCGAGGCUCAACCUCGGGCCUGCAGUUGAUACGGGCAAACUAGAGUACUGCAGGGGAGACUGGAAUUCCUGGUGUAGCGGUGAAAUGCGCAGAUAUCAGGAGGAACACCGGUGGCGAAGGCGGGUCUCUGGGCAGUAACUGACGCUGAGGAGCGAAAGCUAGGGGAGCAAACAGG
rnacentral:rRNA from 1 species